rnacentral:lncRNA from 1 species
UCAUACAAUGUUUAUAUUUUUUACAAUGAGCAGGUAUUAUCUUAAAGACUAAAAAAAUGGAGGAGAAAAAGAUGUUAUGGACAACAAUAUUAAAUGCAUCAGAUUGGUCAAGUAAGAUAAAAUCUUAAAAUGUUCAUUAUAUUUGGCAAUGAAGAAAUCAUUUAAGCACCUCUGCUAAUGAAAUUUCAAUUAAUUAGGGAAGAAGCCAGAUGUCAGUGAGUUAAAAACUAAAUGAGAGUUGAAAAAUUAGAGACACAGAGUACACAGACUCAUUUGAGAAGGAAAGUAAAGAGAUAAGAUGGUAUCUAUAAUGAGGAAUGAAGAAUUAAAGAAAAUGAUUUUUUAUUGUUUGUUUUUAUUGUAGAAGAAACUUGAAUAUGUUCACAGGAUGACAAGGUUUAAGUAGAAAGACUUUUAAGAAGAUAGGAAACAGAAGGAAUAAUUCUUUGUAGCAAAACCAAAGAAGAAAUAGAGAGAAAUCAAAGUCACAGUUAGAAGAUGUCUCUUCUUGAAAGAGCAGAGGCAAAGAAUAAAGCUUUUGAGUGUGGGGGCGGGAGGGGCAGUUUCUCGGGAGUAAAUCAAAGGGAGAAAGUUGAAGUAUUUCUCACAUAACAGCCUUGAUUUUCACUCAGCGGAUAGAUGCCAAGGUGAUCUGCUAAGAUUAAAACACUUUGAGGUAGCAUAAGAGUUUUGAGAACAAUAAUUAGAAUUUGGAACUCCCCAUUUGUCUUGUUUUCUGCUGUUCCACUUCUCUGUUUUUCUUUUUUACGAAAACAUCUGGAAAAAGCUCUUUGUGUAGUUCUCAACUCUUCCCAUUCUGUUUUGAACGCACACCCAUGGAGCUUUUACCUCAACCACUCCAUGGGAACAUUUGUUGUCCAGGUAACUAAUGACCUCCACGUCACUAAAUUUAAUGAUCAAUUCUCAUUUUACUCUGCAUCAAUGAGCAUCAGUUGACAGAAUGGUCACUCCUUCCUCCUUGAAACACUUACCUCAAAUAGCUUCCAAGGAUAUAAACAUUCCGUUUUCCUCUCACUUUCCCAGCUGCUUCUUUUCUUGGACUUUUCCAGGUUCUUCCACUUUGACCAAAGUUGAGAAAUGAGAUAAUACUUGUUAAAAUCCUUGUAUAAGCUGGCAGUAAAUUUUAGGUUAUAGAAUUAAAAGUAACAACAACAACAACAACAAAUUUAACCAAAUUUGAAAAGGUAUGAUGACAAGAAGGUUCUUUUAUUCAGGCAAAAUAAUAACCCUCCUUAAAAGGCUACAAUUGGCAUUAUCUCACCAUUAUAGCUAUUUAUUCAACUGUAAAUAUCUACUGUAAGUAACAACAGAUUAUUCUCUGCUUUCACACUUUUCCUACCAAAUAUUGGUCACCUAAUGUAUUCCUUUCUCCUUGCCUACUGAAACUCCACUACUCUCAAAGGAAUCUGUGUUCUGAAACCCACCUUCUUUAAAGAAGAUUCUGCCUCACACCUGGUCUCCUAUUUUAUGUUUCUAUAGUACUUUCAAAUUUACAAAGGAAAUUAAUAAAAGAGCAAUAUUGGGAUAAAUUUUAUAAAAC